rnacentral:rRNA from 1 species
UACGUAGGGGGCAAGCGUUGUCCGGAAUCAUUGGGCGUAAAGAGUGUGUAGGCGGCUCGGUAAGUCCGCUGUGAAAGUCCAGGGCUCAACCCUGGAAUGCCGGUGGAAACUGUCGAGCUAGAGUCCGGAAGAGGCGAGUGGAAUUCCUGGUGUAGCGGUGAAAUGCGUAGAUAUCGGAAGGAACAUCAGUGGCGAAAGCGGCUUCCUGGACCAGCACCGACGUUCAGGCACGAAAGCGUGGGGAGCAAACAGG